CUCUCAGGAAUGGGUAGUGGGUACUGAACGAGUCCAGAGUUUGUUUUCAGGGUGAUGAACAGGUUCAGGAAUUAGGCAAUGGUGGCAUGACAUUGUGAAUAUACUAAAAAGAUUUAAUUGUACACUUUCAAAUGGUUAAGUUGAUGAAAUUUAUGAGAAUUUUAUUUCAAUUGAACAAUCUUAUAUCCUUACAUAUGUUUAUCAGUUGCUGAAAACAGCUUGUUAAAUUUUUCACUGUGCUUUGUAGAUUUUUCUAUUUCUCCUUUUAAUUCUGCCCAACUUUUUGAAGUUAUGGUACAUACAAAUUUGAAUUGUUAUAAGGUCAUUCCUUGUUAUUUGUGGUAGUUAUAUUGUACAAAGCUGUUCCAAAUACUGACUUAGUAAACACUUUCUCCAAGUGUUAGUAACACUUUCUCCAAAGAGGGAUACAGGGUUCGGUUCUUGUGAGGGUCUAUUCAAACAUUUUCAUUAACUGGUCACUACAAAACCUGGUUUUAUGGGCCAAGGAUGUAGCUCAGCGGCACAGCACCUGCCUGGUAAGUGCAAGGACCCAAGUUUGAUCCCUGCUAUGAAAAAAGCCCACCUGGUUUUAUGCACGUCUUUGUUUAAAGACAUUUUAAUAUAUAUUGUUGAUGCAUCAACAUCAAACUCAACAAACAGCAGUGCAAUUUACACUAGAAAUAGGUUCUCUCUCACACAUAUUUUCUUCCUAAGGUCCAUCCUGACCUUUUUGUAUCUUGGAACUCAUUAGCACUACAUUUGGGGACCAAUUUAAGCAGUGAAACUGUGAGGAGAAAGCACAAAAAUGUGGAAAACAUGACACUGAAUCGUUCAUCAGAAGAACUGUUUAUAGCCUGGGAACCGAAGCGAGGAAGAAGGCUGCCUUACUCAUCUCGGACCAUUCACAGGAUGCUCUAAUGUUCCCAGUAUCCUCUGCUUGUCCACGAAUAACCCCAAAAUCUAUGAGACCAUGGAUUUGGGAUGACAAACUUCAGCAAGCAGGUACUAUUGCAAAUACGGACUCCUCAAUAAUGAGGAUCAAUUGUCUUGCUGCAACUUGGAUUUCUAGGUCUUAAAAUGUCCCUCUGGCCAUGGCAUCUCUAGAGAGCCUGAGGAGCCAGAAACUCCCUACACAAAGGCUCCACUUAGAAAGAGGAAACUGGAAACGCUACUGGCAGCUUCCCCGGUUUCUGUCCUAGGGAGCAACUUUUUUGUUUUGUUUUGUUUUGUUUUUUUGGCAGUACUGGGCAUUAAAUAGGACCUUCACACUGAGCUACAUCCUCAGCCCCUACUUUAAUCUUUUAUUUUGAGACAGAGGCUCACCAAAUUGAUAAGUGGCCCAGGCUGGCCUUGAUUCUGCAAUUCUCCUGCCUCAGAGUGCUGGGAUUACAGGCGGUACCACCAUGCCCAACUAACUUCCUUCCUAACACCUGUCCUUUCAGGAUGGCUACGCCCACCUCCCCUAGUACGUACUUAUGCUCCUAUAACAAAUUAUCACUGCCUCGGUGGCUUAAAACAGUAGAAAUUUAUUCUCCAUUCUGGAGGCAAGAAGCCCACACUCCCUUCAAAGGACUAGGGGAGAGCCCUUCCCAUUCUUGUUCCAGCUGCUAGUGGCCAUCAGCCUUCCGGAGCCGUGCAGCUGGGAGUCCAGGCACUGCCUCUGUGGCUGUACUGCCUUCUCUUCCCCCUGUGAAAGCUUCCUUGGCCUCCCUCUGACAAAGGCCAGGUGAUUACACUGGGUAAUCCUGCAAACUGUUAGCCUCCCAAGAUCCCUCCUUUCCCAAGCCAGGUAACAGGUACAGGCUGUAGGAAUCAGGACCCGAUUGCCUUCUUUGAAGGACACUUUGCAGCCUGCUCUACCUUGUAUCCUCGUGCUUGGUGGGGAGGAAGGCCUCACUCAGAGGCCCACGGGACUUCCUGGUUUGUUCCAUGAGAACUGGCAACCCAGCUGAGCACGAGUAGGAUCUGGCCCUCAGUGAGAUGAGCAAUACACUCUGGAGACCAGGACAGAGGCCAGGGGACACCAGCUCUUCCUCAGUGCUGUAGCAUCUCUUGGGCACAGGGCUUGGCCCUGGGGUUGCGUUACUUCUGACAGUGACAGUAGCACCUCCUCCACGGUGGACCCAGGAGCUGCUGCAGAUUCACCUGUAAAUUAAAACCCUCUCCUCAGCAAAGGGCUGAGCCUGCCUCCUUCUGCUUCACAUACCAGAGGUCGGGCACUUUAUAAAGAAAAGAAAUUACUUUGGCUCACUGUGAUGGAAGUUGGGAAGUUCAAGAUCUGUGGAGGGCCUCAUGUCGGUGGGGACUCGGAAGAGUCCCAUGGCAGCACAGAGCAAGACACAGCAAGCUCGCUAGCUUGGGUCUCUCUUUCUCGUCGGAUGAAACCAGGAAGAAGUCACGAGGCCGCAUCCUCAUGACCGCAUCUUAUCCUAAUUACCACCAGGGCUGGGAAUUUAGCUCCGUGGUCCCACCACGUGCCUCGCAAGCUCAAGGACCAGAGUUCAAUCCUGGUACCAAAAAAAAAAAUUUCAGUGGCUAAUUACCGCCCCAAAGCCUCAGUUGUCCUACCAUUUAACACCUCACAGGGGAUUAAAUUUCAACAGGAGGUUUGGGAAGGACAGUCAAACUACAGCAAGCUGAUUCCACCAGACUGAUUGUUCCUUGAAUGCUGCAGCUGAGCCUGUCCAUGCAGCUAUGUAGCUGAUGAAGACCACCUGAACACUACCCCAUACUGGGUCCUGGGAAGGCAGGUCUCAGCCAGCCAGGUGCUCCCAGCCCAGCUGCAAAGGACUUGUGAGGUCUUUCAACAUUGAAUCUACCUUCCUCAGCUUCCCAGAGUGCUGGGAUUCCAGCAAUUUAGAUUUUUAUUUCCAUUGAAAUACUCCUCCAUCAUCUGAAACUCGAAGAAGUUCCAAAGGCAACUGGAAUGAUUGGGCGUCAGUGGGAUAAAGGCACCAAGAUUAGAAUAAGAAGCUCUAAAGAAGAACUCUAAAGCUAUUUCACCUGUUCCUGACUUGCUUACCUUCUCAGUGAUCUGGAAGACAUCGAGCUGCUGACACACGGAACAACCUGGGUAAAUCUUGAAUAUACACCAUUACGCUGAGUAAAAAAAGCCACACACAGAGGGAAACACUGUUGGAUUCCAUUUUUUAAAGGACAGUCUGAAAGGCAAAACUAUAGUGGCAAAAUUUAGACCAGUGGUUGCCAGAAUUGGGGAUGAAGGGGCUAACCUGGAUAAAACUGGGGUUAGUGGAACAUUUCUGGAUAAUGAAAAUGCUGUCCUGUUUAUCUUUAUUGUGAUUAUAUCUACAUGGUUGUUUGUAUACAUUCAUCAAAAUGUACAUGAAGAAUGGAGAAUGUUCUAUACAUAAAUUGUGCCUUGACACAUCCAAAAUACCUGACUUAAACAAUAAGCGUUAUCAUACCAAGAGUUAGACUGACAGGCCCAAUACGGUGGGGUUACUGUCUUGCCUCAUUGGAAUAAGACACUAUUAAUGCAGUUAAAACUAGUACUUGGCUUAGGGAAACCGUUUCACAAUUUUGUCUCAAAUCAAGC
rnacentral:lncRNA from 1 species